rnacentral:lncRNA from 1 species
AUGGUUGGCGCUAAAAGAAGGAAAAGUCCCAGGCAGUUGGAAGAAGCCAGUCACCCUCCUCUGACAAAUACUCAUGGGAAUCCUAGGGAGCAGAAAUCAGCUGGAUCUCCUGGUGGGGCAAAUGGAGGUGGCCUGUGUCGGUCUUCUCCUGUGUUCGUCUCUGUCUGGAAGUCCUCUUACAGCAUCAUGGCCUCCCCUGCACACUCAGGUAAAAACACGAACACAGGGCUCACCUGUCCCCUGGAGAAAGUGGAGCAGGAGCACUGUGGGAGCCUAUUUACUUCUUCCAGCCUCACCACCAGAAAUGGGAGGUCUACACUAUGUGGCAGACUCACAGUCUACAGGGCCAGCAGCAGCAUGAUGGAAGGUUCUAGGCCUGUGAACUGGCCCAGACACCACAGGAUUUCUGCCUAGAGGCUCUGAGACUGGUUCUUCUGCUUUGGAGGACAGGCCACUG